GGUGCCCCAGGUGCCCCAUGUGCCCAGCCAUGAGCCCAGCCACCGGCCCCAGGUGCCCAGCCAUGAGCCCAGCUAUGUGCCCCGGGUGCCCAGCUACAAGCCCAGCAGUAAUGCUGGUUUUCAUCAUCCUCACCAGCCUAAAGGUCUGAACUGAGUGGAGCCCAUCUUAAUUUUGGUGGUAAAGGAGGCGCUUUUGGCUACAGUUCAACCUAGGGCAUAUGGGAUGUCUUAAAAUCUGAAGAUCUGACACAAAGAUGUGCAUCACCUCUACAACUGACUGGGGAAUAGCUCUUUUUGAAAAAUAAAAUGUGAUUUGUCUAA